CUAUUGCAGUCAUGGCGGAGAUUCUGCCCUUCUGUAUUGAAAUCGCCACAGGGCGAGAAGAACAAGAAGUUACCUGGGCAGGUUUGGGGGCUUGACUCUGGCUUACCGGGUAAACCGUGAGACGACGUCCCCACUGUGGUUGAAGAACCCCAGGGCUACAUAGUACCUCCACAAUCGCUAAUUGGACGAUGUUCAACUAAGAAGCUGAUAUGACCCAAAAUGUGGGUUGGAGCCAGUCUUUGCCAAGCUAACUAUGUUCUACAAGGAGUGGAAGACAUAGAAGAUCAAGAAAAUAUCAUGGAAGAUGGACAACAGGGAAACCUGGAGUCUGAGCCAGAAUGUGCAAACAUGGCAUCUACAGAACAUAAGACUGACAGUUUCCUGAUGGACAUGGAUGAUACUGAUGAAAGUGAACAUGAAGAUGAAUUUAAGUUUACAGAAACACCAUCUAAAGAAAAUAUAAAGUCAAAAGAGAUGGAUGGACCACAUGCUGAUGACAGUGAUACUGAAGAUGAAGUUGAGUGUUCAGGGCCUCAGUUAACAAAAGAACUGAAAGACGAUGUUCUUCCCCCCUCAUUCCCUUGUUGUGAGGAAAUUGGUCUGAACCUUGAUGUUGGUUCAAAACAAAGUCUAGAUCCAGGUUUGUUGACAAAGGGCAUGAUGUUAGAACUAGUACACUUCACUAGAGUACUGACUGCUUCUCACAGAUCUAUUGUUCUGGAUUUGUUGGGGCAUAACUUUGAACUUGAUCUUAAACAGGGAAAAGAUCAAGUAUGGCUCAACGUAUCAGACCUACUGAAAAGGAGAGAGCAACUUAUCGCUGACUUUAAGCAUUAGCCAUUUUCAUCUCAGACAAAUCCCUGUGAAGGAGCAUCAGAACCAUCCAAUCUGGGAGCCCCUCUACAACAAUUUAAGGAAGGGACCAAAAGAAGGCAAUCUGAUUUAAAAAGUAAACAAAAAAAGAGGGCUCUUUCAACAACAAGUGAGCACGUCACCAAGCGGCACAGAAGAGAACAGGCUGACCAGGUGGAGACUAUUACUCUGUCUCAUCACACUGAUUUGUGUACCAGUCAAACAGCAAAGGAUGACCACCACUACAUGAGUCCUUUAGACUCAGAUGAAGUCACAGAUUCAGAAAACGCUGAAAAUCAAGAUUACUUACAACACCCAACAAGUUCUGACUUACCCACGCAAUCAGAAUCAAGUUGUCUGGGUAUACACAAACCUUUCCUCACCACCACUGAUGGUUCAUCCAGUUUACCGGUUGUGAACUCAAACGUGAGACCACUAUUUGCAAGUCACCCUGAUAAAAGAGGGCUGCCUGGAGAUGAAGAGAAGACAAAGAUUGGAAGAAAUGGACAAAGAGUAUUGUGCAUUCACUAGAUCCAAAAAAUAUUGGAUUUGGCCCAAAGCAGAACUUCAGUUUUGACUCUUUGACUAAUUCUCUUCUGCUUGAAGUUGCUAAAUUUGCCUUAGCAAUAAAUUCAUCCCAGCAGGAAUUCAUUAUGGAGAUUCUUGAGUACAACUUCAACCUUGGCCUGUGGAAGGAAUACCACAGGAAAACUUUUAUAUUUGAAGUUAUGAACAGAGUAAGACUUAAAAAUCGUGAAGAUGCAGUCAAACUCUCAAAAAAGGUUUUUGAACUUCCUGGUCUCAUGUCAUCAGUCAAUAGGGCAAAUCAGAGCAUGGGCAGUAUCGAUCCUGAACAUAGCUGCAUAUCAAGAAUGACAGAGUGUGAUGUUGCUCCUGUGUACCCUCCUGAUUCACAUGCUGAAACUAAAGAACAUAGUGUGGACCCUUAUCCCUUCUGCAAGGAAAUUGGUCUGAAGCUACGUGUGAACUACCGUCAACCAAAUAAAAAACUUGAGAUCAACAAAUUGACCAAUGGAGCAAUGACUGAAGUGACAAACUUUGCAGAAAAGUUGUGUGGAACAUUUGAGCAGAUUUGUCUUGAUAUCUUAAGGCACAACUUUGAUCUUGAUUGGCAAAAUGGAGAUUCUGGUCCUGCUAGAACUACUCUCGCACGAAUUCCUGUUAUAAUGGAGCAAAGAAAUCUAUCAAAUCUAGCAGCCUUCAAGAAAAUGAAGCGCACAAGAAAAGAUUUCUCAACGAUGGAUGUGGAAAUUGCGGAUUAAUCAAAUUCACCAAAUCCUUUCAGUGCCUCAUGGAGAACAUUGCCCAUUGUAUUCUUAUUCCAGAUGCAAGAAAUUAGGCAUCCAUUUCAAUGUGGGAUCUGGAGUGAAACAAAAUCUUGACGCAAAAUUACUGACCAAUGGCAUCAUGGAUGAAGUUAGUACUUUUGCCACAGCACUGCAAUCAGCCCAAAAGGAUUUCAUCACAGAGAUACUGGAGUAUAAUUUUCAUCUUAAUUUGAACAAUGAGUUUUAUCGCAGUGCCUUUGCACAGCAGGUCCUGGAAAAAUUCAGGGCAUCGAGUUUAAAAUGUAAAAAAUACAGAAUCAUGAAAAUGGUUUUUGAACUCCCUGAAUCAAGAUGCACCGAAGAAUCUACUAAAUCUAAAAUCUAAAACUAAAUAUUGCUCCAAAUGUUGUCAAGACAGAUAUUAUAAGCUUUGUCAGGAUGAAUCCGACCCUGACCAAGUGCUUCAUCCUCGUCCGCAUCCUAUGACUGACACAAUCUCUGCUGAAGCAAACUGCACAGCACAAAAGCCUGUAAAGGAUCUGUCCUCUGCUUUCCGAGCAACAGAGGAGACGAUAAUGGACAGUUAUCCUCACUGCAAGAAAAUAGGUUUAAGCCUGUGUGUGAACAAAGACAUG